rnacentral:rRNA from 1 species
GACGAACGCUGGCGGCGUGCCUAAUACAUGCAAGUAGAACGCUGAAGGAGGAGCUUGCUCUUCUGGAUGAGUUGCGAACGGGUGAGUAACGCGUAGGUAACCUGCCUGGUAGCGGGGGAUAACUAUUGGAAACGAUAGCUAAUACCGCAUAAGAGUAGAUGUUGCAUGACAUUUGCUUAAAAGGUGCAAUUGCAUCACUACCAGAUGGACCUGCGUUGUAUUAGCUAGUUGGUGGGGUAACGGCUCACCAAGGCAACGAUACAUAGCCGACCUGAGAGGGUGAUCGGCCACACUGGGACUGAGACACGGCCCAGACUCCUACGGGAGGCAGCAGUAGGGAAUCUUCGGCAAUGGACGGAAGUCUGACCGAGCAACGCCGCGUGAGUGAAGAAGGUUUUCGGAUCGUAAAGCUCUGUUGUAAGAGAAGAACGAGUGUGAGAGUGGAAAGUUCACACUGUGACGGUAUCUUACCAGAAAGGGACGGCUAACUACGUGCCAGCAGCCGCGGUAAUACGUAGGUCCCGAGCGUUGUCCGGAUUUAUUGGGCGUAAAGCGAGCGCAGGCGGUUAGAUAAGUCUGAAGUUAAAGGCUGUGGCUUAACCAUAGUACGCUUUGGAAACUGUUUAACUUGAGUGCAAGAGGGGAGAGUGGAAUUCCAUGUGUAGCGGUGAAAUGCGUAGAUAUAUGGAGGAACACCGGUGGCGAAAGCGGCUCUCUGGCUUGUAACUGACGCUGAGGCUCGAAAGCGUGGGGAGCAAACAGG